rnacentral:miRNA from 1 species
UACAGCCAGACCACCCUGAACAUGCCUGAUCUCGUCUGAUCUCGGAAGCUAAGCAGGGUCAGGCCUGGUUUGUACUUGGAUGGG